CCUACGGGAGGCAGCAGUGGGGAAUAUUGGGCAAUGGGCGCAAGCCUGACCCAGCAACGCCGCGUGAAGGAAGAAGGCUUUCGGGUUGUAAACUUCUUUCGUCAGGGAAGAGUAGAAGACGGUAACUGACGAAUAAGCCACGGCGAACUACGUUCCAGCAGCCGCGGUAAUACGUAGGUGGCAAGCGUUGUCCGGAUUUACUGGGGGUAAAGGGCGUGUAGCCGGGUUGACAAGUCAGAAGUGAAAUCCUGCGGCUUAACCGCAGAACUGCAUUUGAAACUGUUGAUCUUGAGUACUGGAGAGGCAGACGGAAUUCCUAGUGUAGCGGUGAAAUGCGUAGAUAUUAGGAGGAACACCAGUGGCGAAGGCGGUCUGCUGGACAGCAACUGACGGUGAGGCGCGAAAGCGUGGGGAGCAAACAGGAUUAGAUACCCCUGUAGUC
rnacentral:rRNA from 1 species